rnacentral:rRNA from 1 species
AGCGAACGCUGGCGGCAGGCUUAACACAUGCAAGUCGAGCGGGCAUCCUUGUGGUGUCGGCGGCAGACGGGUGAGUAACGCGUGGGAACGUGCCCUUCGGUUCGGAAUAACUCAGGGAAACUUGAGCUAAUACCGGAUACGCCCUUUUGGGGAAAGGUUUACUGCCGAAGGAUCGGCCCGCGUCUGAUUAGCUAGUUGGUGAGGUUAUGGCUCACCAAGGCGACGAUCAGUAGCUGGUCUGAGAGGAUGAUCAGCCACACUGGGACUGAGACACGGCCCAGACUCCUACGGGAGGCAGCAGUGGGGAAUAUUGGACAAUGGGGGCAACCCUGAUCCAGCCAUGCCGCGUGAGUGAUGACGGCCUUAGGGUUGUAAAGCUCUUUUCUCCGGGACGAUAAUGACGGUACCGGAGGAAUAAGCCCCGGCUAACUUCGUG